AUGCAACUAGGGACCCUCAACAAAACACACACCCCUAGUCAUGAGUCGAUGGUCGGCAGGUCUAUAGGUUAUACACCUUUCUUCAUGGUUUACGGAGCAGAAGCGGUGCUGCCUAGUGAAAUCCAUCAUGACUUGCCUUGUGUGGCGGCUUACAAUGAAGCUAAUAACGAACAAGCCCAACAGGAUGCACUUGACUUGUUAGAUGAGGAGAGAGACUUAGCAGCGGCUCGACAAGAAAUUUAUCAACAUGACCUGCGCCGUUAUCACAGCCGCCGGGUUAAGUCCAGGACUUCUCAAGAAGGUGACCUGGUGGUCCGGCUCAUCCUGGAUCUGCCAGAUGCACACAAGCUAUCCCCGCCUUGGGAAGGACCCUUUGUGGUCAGCAAGAAUUUAAACAACGGGUCAUAUUACCUCAUCGACGUUCGAGAACACAAAGACUCACGUAAGUCGGAGGAGGAGACCCGUCGGUCGUGGAACAUUGCUCAACUUCGGACAUACUACACCUGA
rnacentral:rRNA from 1 species